GGGCAAGUGGCGGAAUGGCAUACGCACGGGACUUAAAAUCCCGGGUCCGCAAGGAUGUGAGGGUUCGACUCCCUCCUUGCCCA
rnacentral:tRNA from 1 species